GGAUAACAGUUAGAAAUGACUGCUAAUACCGCAUAAGACCCCGGGACCGCAUGGUUCCGAGGUAAAAACUCCGGUGGUGUAAGAUGGGCCCGCGUCUGAUUAGGUAGUUGGCGGGGUAACGGCCCACCAAGCCGACGAUCAGUAGCCGACCUGAGAGGGUGACCGGCCACAUUGGGACUGAGACACAGCCCAGACUCCUACGGGAGGCAGCAGUGGGGAAUAUUGCACAAUGGGGGAAACCCUGAUGCAGCGACGCCGCGUGAGCGAUGAAGUAUUUCGGUAUGUAAAGCUCUAUCAGCAGGGAAGAAAAUGACGGUACCUGACUAAGAAGCCCCGGCUAACUACGUGCCAGCAGCCGCGGUAAUACGUAGGGGGCAAGCGUUAUCCGGAUUUACUGGGUGUAAAGGGAGCGUAGACGGCGGCGCAAGCCAGAUGUGAAAGCCCGGGGCUCAACCCCGGGACUGCAUUUGGAACUGUGCCGCUAGAGUGUCGGAGAGGCAGGCGGAAUUCCUAGUGUAGCGGUGAAAUGCGUAGAUAUUAGGAGGAACACCAGUGGCGAAGGCGGCCUGCUGGACGAUGACUGACGUUGAGGCUCGAAAGCGUGGGGAGCAAACAGGAUUAGAUACCCUGGUAGUCCACGCCGUAAACG
rnacentral:rRNA from 1 species